rnacentral:rRNA from 1 species
CAGCCGCCACGGUAACACGGAGGAUCCAAGCGUUAUCCGGAAUCAUUGGGUUUAAAGGGUCCGUAGGCGGUCUUGUAAGUCAGUGGUGAAAGCCCAUCGCUCAACGGUGGAACGGCCAUUGAUACUGCAGGACUUGAAUUAUUGGGAAGUAACUAGAAUAUGUAGUGUAGCGGUGAAAUGCUUAGAGAUUACAUGGAAUACCAAUUGCGAAGGCAGGUUACUACCAAUUGAUUGACGCUGAUGGACGAAAGCGUGGGUAGCGAACAGGAUUAGAUACCCGGGUAGUCCCUGUCUCUUAUAC